UUCGCAAUGCCCGAAAGGGUGACGAAGCGACGCCGCGUGGGUGAGGAAGGCCUUCGGGUUGUAAAGCCCUGUCAGGAGUUAAGAAAUGUAGACUCGCUAAUAUCGGGUCUAUUUGACAAAGGCUCCAAAGGAAGCCACGGCUAACUCUGUGCCAGCAGCCGCGGUAAUACAGAGGUGGCAAGCGUUGUUCGGAAUUAUUGGGCGUAAAGAGCACGUAGGUGGAUUUGUAAGUCAGACGUGAAAGCCUUCUGUUCAACGGAAGAAUUGCAUCUGAAACUACAAACCUUGAGUGUAGGAGGGGAGAAUGGAACUUCUGGUGGAGCGGUGAAGUGCGUAGAUAUCAGAAGGAACGCCGGCGGCGAAAGCGAUUCUCUGGCCUAUUACUGACACUCAGUGUGCGAAAGCUAGGGGAGCAAACGGAAUUAGAUACCCCGGUAGUCCUAGCCGUAAACGAUGGGCACUAAGUAGAGGGGUUUU
rnacentral:rRNA from 1 species